rnacentral:rRNA from 1 species
GACGAACGCUGGCGGCGUGCUUAACACAUGCAAGUCGAACGGAAAGGCCCUGCUUGCAGGGUACUCGAGUGGCGAACGGGUGAGUAACACGUGGGUGAUCUGCCCUGCACUUCGGGAUAAGCCUUUGAAACUGGGUCUAAUACCGGAUAGGAGCCAUUUUUAGUGUGAUGGUUGGAAAGUUUUUUCGGUGUAGGAUGAGCUCGCGGCCUAUCAGCUUGUUGGUGGGGUAAUGGCCUACCAAGGCGGCGACGGGUAGCCGGCCUGAGAGGGUGGACGGCCAAAUUGGGACUGAGAGAAGGCCCAGACUCCGACGGGAGGAAGAAGGGGGGAAUAUUGAAAAAUGGGCGCAAGCCUGAUGCAGAGACGCCGCGUGGGGGAUGACGGACUUAGGGUUGGAAACUACUUUCGCUAGGGACGAAGCUUUUUGUGACGGUACCUAGAUAAGAAGCACCGGCUAACUACGUG